rnacentral:rRNA from 1 species
UACAGAGGGUGCGAGCGUUGUUCGGAAUUACUGGGCGUAAAGCGCGUGUAGGCGGUUCAUUAAGUCAGAUGUGAAAUCCCGGGGCCUAACUCCGGAAGUGCAUUUGAAACCGAUGAGCUGGAGUGAUGUAGAGGAUGGCGGAAUACCCAGUGUAGUGGUGAAAUACGUAGAGAUUGGGUAGAACACCGGUGGCGAAGGCGGCCAUCUGGGCAUUAACUGACGCUGAGACGCGAAAGCGUGGGGAGCAAACAGG